rnacentral:rRNA from 1 species
UGAGUAACCUGCCCUUAACUCUGGGAUAAGCCUGGGAAACUGGGUCUAAUACCGGAUAUGACUCCUCAUCGCAUGGUGGGGGGUGGAAAGCUUUAUUGUGGUUUUGGAUGGACUCGCGGCCUAUCAGCUUGUUGGUGAGGUAAUGGCUCACCAAGGCGACGACGGGUAGCCGGCCUGAGAGGGUGACCGGCCACACUGGGACUGAGACACGGCCCAGACUCCUACGGGAAGGCAG